AGGUGGUAGUCUCCAAUUUCCUUGGUUUUGACAUUCAAGUUCCAUCGACGUUUGUGAUUCAAGACGCAUAUGCACCGGAAUUCAUCUCUAGACUAUGAAGGUAUGCAAGGUUCAUUUUAUGAUCCAUUGAUUUGAAGAACUAUAAUAUUUUAGAGAUGAUCAUGUGCUUCUCUUGGCCUGGGAAUAUGGUUUUUGUUCCAGGGUAUUUGAAUUUGAACAUUGAAAAAGUAUGUUCAAAUGGGUUAUAGGAGCUAGGAGUUUGGGCCUAAGUUUGCCAUAUUGCUUGCAAAAAUAUAGCUGAACGGUUAGGUGCUUGACUCUUCUGCCCCACUUAAGGAAUAAUUAACUGGAUGCAGAUAUAAAAUUAGCUUAUGAAACAGAUAUAUCAUCAUCAACUAUUUUGAUGGUUUUGGUCUCUAAAGUACCAUUUAGAGUUACAAGUUAUACUUGGUGAAUUGAGUUUCAAACUUUUAACCUUAGUUGAAUUUAUAACUUAAUUCGUUAGUUGAAUGUAUAACUUAAUUAAUUUCUUAAGCUAUGCUUAAGUUAGCAUGAUUGAGAUGUGUCUUAAAUAGAUAAACAAAAGUUAAAAUUUUCAAUCAAAAUAUAAAGCAGGCUAAAGUUGGAGAACAAAGGUAUAUUGUCACAUGCGAUAAACCGUGUUUGUCGAAUUAUUGUCUUCUAAACAAAACUUUGUCAAAUUAUGGUGGGUUCGUCUGUCAAAUAAAAUGAUUUUUGAAAAAGGAAAUGUAGAAAAAGGAAAAUAGAAUACGAAAUGAAUCUUCCUUGAAACGAUUGAUGGAAGUAUUAUAUCUUUGUUAUAGACAUUGUUUUUAGAAAAGGAGGAAGAACAUGGCAUCCAUUGAAGAAGACCAGAACUCUGUAGCCCUUUUCUUCAAUCACAAAAGCACACUCUAACAUGAUCAUACUUCUUUAAUUUCCUAAAGAUAUGAUUUGAUAUACACGAGUCCAAAUCACCUAGAGUUUUUGUUUUCCCAAAAAGUAAUUUAAUUAACAUAAUUUUCUUUUCUUGUUCUUUUAAUUACAAUUCAAAAGGUACUUUAGAAAAACAAUUAUGAAACAAAUGUGGUUAGGAUUAAAAAAGAAAAAGAAAAGAAAAGAAAAAGAAAAAGAAAAAGAAAAGAAAAAGAAAAAGUGAUUUAGAAAAGGAGCCAAUUGAAGCACCAUAUAGAAACUUUAAUUUAUGUUAUUUUUAGGUUCAUAUAUGUGAACAUGCUCUAUUUUAAACUAAACAUACAAUAUAGUUUUUCUAAAAAAAAUGUACAGUCUAAAACAGCACUUUAUUAUUUUGUCAAAAACUAUGUGCUGAAAAUAUCUUAAUAAUCACUCUAUUUCCCAAUUAAACCUAAACAAAAAGAAAAUAAUGCGAAAUUAAAGCUUCCACUAUUCAGACAUAGGUGUCACUUUUGAGCCUAUCCCUUUAUAUAUUAUGUUAAUUUGAUCCCAAUCCAAUAUUUAAUUGCAAAAUUAGGAACAAAAUCCAAUAAUCAUUGAGGUAUUAAAAUGGGUUAAAUUUUUCGUCUUAAUUGGAAAGCUAUUUGAAAUUCUAUAUAUAAUUUUUUAUAUACGUGUAGACAAUAGAGUGACACAUGUGUUGGAUUGUGUAAGAUUUGCAUAUGGUUUCAUCAAUGGUUGCUUCGAUAUCUUUCUCUUCUUUUUUCUUUUUGGAAUUAAUGCGAAACUCUAUAGAAUCUAAUUUCUUUUCUUGUUUUCUUAAUUAAAUUCUUUUCUUUUGGAGAGACUUUUAUUGCCAGGAACUUUCAAAGUUCUCAAAUUGUGUUGAAAUUCGUUAGUACAAACUUUUGUCACCUUGAUGAUGAUGGGAGAACAAAUAAAAAUGUGUUUUGCAUUAAAAUUUACAUCAAAGUCAUUCACUAAAAAACGAGAGAUCAAUACAUGAAAAACUACAUAGUUCUUUAACGAAAAAAACAAAAGAUCAAUGAGUGAAAAGUUACAUAGUUUUUUAUUUCGUUAUUUUUCAGAGUUGUGUCUAUCUAAUCUCCAAACAUGAGUUAAAAAGUAUUCAAUAAAAAGUUGUUAAAUUUUUGAAGAGGUAUUAAAUUUGAAGGUAUAUCAUUCGUUAGAGUUCAUGGUUUCCUCGAAAAUUGAUUUUAUUAGUUUAGUAUUUUUGAAAUCGUCCUCUGGAGCCUAAAUCCUUAAUUUCUUAAUCACUUUGCUUGUCCCCUAAGUUAGAAAAGAAACCCCUAAAACUCAGCUCAAUUUCAGUGAGUAUAACACUGCAAGUUUAUCCAAUUAAUUGACACAUCCUAACCACGGAAGUUUUGCCAUAUUGUACUGCCAAGUAUGCCAACAUGUGCCACAUAAGCACUAACUAUGCUAAUACAGACUUUGAUAUUAAUGAAAAUGAACAUCAAAUAUAAUAAUAUAAGUUCAACAUGAAGGGUACAUGAAAGGUUGAUCAAACAUACUUUUCAAGGAAGUGCUAAUUACAGCACUAAACAAAGGUGUUGUAUUUCAUGAAUUGAACUAAAAUGUAUAAAUGUGACCCUUUUAAUUUUUUUUAUUUAUGUUAGUUUGAUUUGCUAACACUCAAACUAUUUCAAUUAAGGUAGAAUUUCGUAGACUAUUAAACUCUACAAACUAGUAGCUGAAGUGAUAGCGCAGUGAUGGCCAAAGUUGGUCACAUAAACGAUGGUUAGAGUUGGUUACAAGUAGUCAUUGUUGAAAUCGGGCAUCAUAGAUAAUGAUUAUUGAAAUUGGUCACUCGGUGUGACCAUCAAAGUUGUCUGUGGUGGUGGUUGUCAUUGGAUGGGGACAUUUUUUUACUUUUAAAAAAUACGUGUUUUAACAUUGAAUGAAUUAUUAUAACGUAUCCAAUCCAUUUCGAAUGAGAGCUUAAAACCUAUUUAAAAAUUAGAAGCAUAACACUUAUAAUAUUAACUUUGUUAAUGAAACUUACAGGACUUAUAAUUAUUUUUAUAUAAAGAAAGUUAUAAUUAUUUGGUAAAGAAAAAGUAGUAUUUAUUUAUUGAGAAGACAUUUUAACUUUGAUAACACAGGAAAAACUUGGAUUAUGCCAACAAUUAUUGUAAAUAAUUAUUCUAAAUUCAUGCACAACUUCCAAAAUUUCAUAUGUCCAUUCUCUUGAUUGAAGCAUAAUAAUUUAUUAUAUUAUAUUGCAGUGUGUUUUCCAUAGUAAUAAAAAACAAUUUGUAUAGCAUAAGUUAAAGGUAAAUUGAUAAUAUUUAUUAUGUAUUGGUUGAAGUGGGAAGUUUAAAAGUGGUAUAAAAACGAUAAAGAAAAGAUUGGGAUUGAGGUGUGAAAAAGAAAAAAUGAAAAGAGUCAUAUGGAACCCAUUUAAAACUGUUACUGAUAAUAUGAUUAAUUGCGUAAGGAAUAUAAUUCCAACUGUCAAGUCCUUUUCUAACUAAACCAUCUUAUUAUUCUUAAUUAAACAAUCUCCUACCCUUCCCUUCUUCACCUACUUAACUUAAUAUCUUUAUAUCAUUAUUGUACUAUACUAUAUAUAUUAUAUCAUAUCUGCUUCAUUAUAUAUUCAUUCAAUUUAUUAACAGUAGUUUUGGACCCAAUACAUCUAAUUAACGUUUGGUAAAUUUUAGAGGCAAUUUCAAAAUAAAUAAAUGAAAUCCAACUAGCUCCAUCACCCAGUUCGGCUUGGGAACAUAACAGAUUGGUCCACGUCUAUCUAAAUGAGCAUUGAUGGUGGAAAACCAACUAUUUAAUACUCAAAGUUUGGUUUGAAAAAGUCAUUAAUGUAAUUGAAUUUUCAAAAAAAGAAAAAGGAAAUUAAACUCUAAAUAAUAAUUGGGAGAAAACUUGAGGUUCACAAUUGUUUUUGGAAUCACCACCCUGAUUCCCACAUAAUUAAAGGGAAAAUUUUGGAAGGAUGAUGAAGAAUAAAUGGGGGGGUGGGGAGGAGGACAAAGAACAUCACAUCCACCUCCCCGUCCUAUCCAUGAACAUCUCUAACUAUCUUCAUUUCCCUUUAAUUUACCAAUCAAUUCUCUUUAACUUCCACUCUCAUUUCCUACUUUGUCGAGGUCGACUCUACCGCAAAAUAAGCAAAUGCAAUACUUAGAUUAGACGUUUUUUAUAAAUUUAUUCCAUCAAUUUUAUUUGUCUGGUCCUACAAUAUUUGAGUAUCAUUCGUUGUGUUCUUCAUGAAUUGAAUCUAAGACCUUCUAGUUAUUUUUUGAGAUUAUGAUUAGUUUUUCUUUCUUUUAAGGCCAUGUUUUUCUCUCUCUAAACAAAUUUAUUGUUGUGGUUAUCCGAUAGUCAAACCUUUUUUUUUUGUUAGAUUUUUGGAAGAAUAUUAAAAGUUUAGUUGUCAUGCAUUAAGAAAAAUUGAGGAAAAUCAUGAGUUUUUUCUACAGGGUAAGAAAAGUCAUAGUCUAAGGAACCUAUGCCUUUGGUUUUCAAUGGUCUAUUAGAAACAAUUUAAACUUUAAUUUUAAUUAAAUUACUUUUGUAUUCUCUAAUUAGAAAGUGAAAAAAAAGGAUGUAUCAGUCAAAAGCUUGACAGAGUGUCCUUGUAAUUGGGGUUAGUAAAAAUUAAUUAUUUUUUGUGAUGGUGGUAAAUUUUCAUAUAAUAGAUUUAUUUAUUAUUCAUGGUUUUUUUCUACGAGUUAGAAUUUUUCACGUAUUUUCAAUUUUUAUUGGUUUUUUCUUUUUAAAUUUCUCAAUCAUUUCUAUGCUGAUUUUGUGCAGUGUAGAAGUGGGAGUCUUUUCCUAACAUUUUUCUAUUCAGAUCUUGACGUUAAGAAAACAACUAAUAUAUUACUAUUUUUUUUCUUUUCUUGUGAACUUUGAACAUAUAUAAAUCUUUUAUGUUGUUUAGGUAUUCAGAGAAUAUACUGAGUAUACUUGUUAUAAGAAAAAAAAAUGUCUAUCUACUUAAGAAAAUAUCAAAUUUUACCGUUUUGGAUGAUAUCAAUUGAAACUUUAAUACUCUAUCAAUUUAAACUCUAAACUUUGGUUAGCAUGUACAAAAUUCACACCAUUAUUUAUAUUUUGUUCGAAAAAUAUUUUGUAAAACUUAUAAUUAUUUUAACCAAAUUACUUCUAAAUUAUGUAUCACAAUCAAUCUAGAAUCUUUGUUAAGAUUAUACGUGAAAAUUGUCCAUUGAUCAAGCCUUACACGUAUACACACUUCUUCCAAAUACUUUGGAUAUUAGUAAAAUGAACGAUAAGAAUUAGUGCAUGGAUAUAUUUAAGAAAAAUCUCAUCGAAGAUUUAAAUUAAGUCAUUUAUGAAAGUUUAGAGUUUAGCGGUUGACAAAAUAAUACAAUGUUUAUCCAAAUAUAAUAUAACGAAAAAUGAUAUAACUAAGCUUAUAUCAAUAUCUAUAAAAGCUCACGAUUCUAAUUUUGACACAACCUUGAACAUUAAAAAAAAAAAAAAGAUGUUUUCAUAUAUAAAUUACAACUUCUAAAAAAAAUCAUCAGGUGCAUGUAGACUUAGGAAAACAACUUUCUUAUUAGAAAGUAUUUUAAAUUGAUAAUUACAUGUGGUAUUAGUUCAUAUGAACCUAAUUUAGAAGAGAUAACACCAAUGAUUAAAUUAUAUAUAUGAAAAAAGAAAAGGAUAGAUCAUACUCUAUUUUGGUGGAAACUCAUUUUGAGGUUGCUUUUUGAAAUUAAGUGUUCUUCUUUUUUUUUUCCUCAUUUUGUUUGGUUUUAGGAAUAUAGGGAAAUUAAAUGAUGAUAAAGAAACAAAGAUUGUUCCAAUUUUGCAAAUAUUAAUUACUAUACACAUACAAUUAAGAGAGCCAAUGAGAGUUUAGUGAUGUUGAUAUUACUAAUACUCUGAAUUAUUAUUACAAUUAAUUAAUCAAGCAAAUUUGUAGCAAUUUAUUUAUCUAUCCUACCAUAUAUAUAUAUAUAUAUAUAUUCAUUCUUUUUUUUUUUUAUUAAUCAUUUUAUAAUUUUAUUAGUUUUGUAUACUUUUCAAAUUUCCUGCUGGGAAGAAAUGGAAACAUCCAAAAACUGAAGUUAAAAAACAUUCCUUAAUUAAUUAUAUAUGGGAAGACAUUUUUCAUUUGGCUGCAUUCAUCUGCCCCAAAUCCUAUUUAUUUUUUAAUUACCAUAUCUCAUAUAUUACCUUUUUUUAAUAGGAACACUUCUCUCUACACUCUUUUGUUUUUAUAAUUCUUCCUCUUUUAUACAUAUGAGACGUAUUUUAAUUUGGAGAGAGUUCAAAUCUCAAUCACCUCCAAAUGUUUUAUUGAAUUAUAUCUAUGAAAUGCUACAAGAAUUUAAAUAUAUUUUUGGUCUUCCAAAUUUGAUUUAGCUAGGUUGCAACAUUUCUAAGUUUUCAAACAGAGUCGAUAACAUUCACGAAUUCUCUAUUAGUUUUUAAAUUUCUCUCUCUUUGUUAAUUAUUAAUGGAAAGUUGAUGGGCACAUAUAUUUUAUUCUAUUAAAAAAUGUUAAAUUUUUAAUUUUAAUUUCUUUAAUUCUUCUUUAUCUCUCAUCCUUCCCUUUCCCUUUCCCUUUCCCUUUCCUUCUUUCAUCUUCUUCCUUCACCAUCAACAGUAGCCAUCGAGGUGUAUGGUUGUUGGUGGUGACACUGGCGACUGUUGUAUUAUUUUUCUUUCCUCCCCCCCAAUAUCUAAUUGCUUCUUCUUCUUCUUCUUCUAAUUAAUUUUCCCUUCCUCUCUCUUUUAGUAUAUAUUUUUAAGUGAACUGUGAGACAACACAAAAAAUAUAUAUACAUAGACACACACACACCUAUAUCUCAUCAUGAUACCCCGACCGUUUAUAUGUUGAAGCCCAAGUUGAAACUUAAAGAGACUUCCAUUUUAUCCAAACAAGUUUCUUCAAGUUUUAAGAUAUCUUUUUAAAGCCAAUCUAAACGUAUAAAUUAUCCAAACAAUUAAAAUAUCAUUCUCAAACACUCAAAUCCUCAUCACUUCCCUGUGUUGUUGAACUUAAACAAACUCAACAUCUUUCGUUGAUUGGAUAAGAAUAUGAUUGUUGGCUAAUUAUCUUUUUUUCAUUUUCAUUAAUUACAUUAAAAAAAAGCCCAACACCAUCCUUUUUUAAACAUAAAAGAUAUGAAUUAAUUAUAAUUAGGGCAUUUUCAAAUAUAUCAAAUGUGUAUCAUAAUAUCUUUCAACUGUUUAAAUUAAACUUUGGUCACUUUUUAACUUCAUCUACACAACCUGGUAUGCGACCGAAUUAAGGUAUAGAUUCAUUACAUAAUUAAUUAGCAUUGGUUUUAAGAGCAAUGAAAAUAAAUUGACUAAGUUUAUGAAUGUUUGAUGGAAUGGGCCACAAUUAACCGGUAUCAAAUAAUAAUACUGAAAAUUAUGGUGGGUGAAAAUUUUAGAAUAUUGAUAUUUUAAGUGUCACAUAUUUUUAUUUUCAUUUUGAUAUGACACUUCUUAAUUAGUGUAUGAAGUGUAUCGAGUAUAUCGAAUGUAUAUGAUUAGUAGUGUAUCAUGUGUAUCAAAUGUAUCAAGUGCGUCAUGUGUGUAUCAAGUGUGUAUUAGUCGUAGGAUACACUAGAUGACCACCAAACACUUUAGUCGUGAUGACCUUUGUAAAUGGAUGAGCAAGGUUAUCUGUAGAGACUAUCUGAGUAACUACCACAGUCUUGGAUAGAUUUGAACCAUAGGGUCGAGAACUUUAGGCAAGUUCUCUUUAUGUUUGCCAAAAUAAGCAUCCCUAGUCCGUCAUAGGCAGAAAAGUGAUUGUGUGGAAAGACAUUGAUAGAAGAGUCAAAUACGAAAAUAGAAUAGCUAGUUUUCCGUGUGGAAACUGAAAAAGCAAGAGAAAAACGAAUAGGGUAGGACUUAUUAAUAUGAAUCCAGAAGAGAGCAAACUAUCAAUAAAGAGAAAGGCUUGAACGUGAAAUGGUUUUUUUUUUUUUUUUGGGGGGGGGGGGGGGGGGGGGGGGGGGGAGAGGGGGCAACAUUGUUCAUUGAGGCGGCAUGAGAAAUUUCCACCCACUUGGUGUACUAUCUCCUAGUGAGAUGAUAUUUUCGCUUAGUAUGUUUUCCACAUUUAUGGCUUUUGAACUCUUUGGAAUUUACAAUUGAAUUAUUUUCACAAUAAAGAGUGACAAGAAGAUGCAUAUUUGGAACAACUUCCAAAUCUAUUAAGAACUUCGAUUUUACUGCUUCUUUUGAUGCCUUGCUGCUUUGUAGGCAACUACACAUAUUCAACUUCCAUUGUGGAGUCAACAAUGUAACUUUGUUUGAUAUUUUGCUAGACUAUUGCUCCUCUAUACAAAGAGAACACCAAACUUUACUAGAUUGAAAAUCAGAUUCAGUGUAUUCUGUAAGGAUCAGAUUUCCACCCCCAUAUACAAGCACAUAGUCCCUCGUUCUCUAAAAAUACUUGAGGAUAUUCUUAACGAUGGUCCAAUGAUUAUAUCCUAGGAUUAGACUAAUACCUGUUGACUAUCCCUAUGACUAGCAUAUGUUAGGUCGUGUAUAACACAACAUACAUCAGGCUACCAACUGCUAAUGCGUAAUGAAUGUGUCUCGUAUCCUAACCUUCUCGAGGUGUCUUAGAAAAUUGUUCCUAUGGUAAAUGAAUUCCAUGUCGAAAAGACAAAACCCCUCUUUUGGAGUUCUGCAUCUUAUAAUUACUAGACAACAUUUUGUCAAUAUAAGUUGUUUAAGACAUGGCUAGCUAGUGUUCUGUUCCAAUGAUUUCGAAUAUUUGGAUCUCAAGAAAGUAUUGUGCUUCUCUCAAAUCUUUCAUUUGAAACUGUGUAGCUAACCACUUUUUAGUGUUAGUCAAGUAUCCUAUAUAGUUUCUAAUGAGUAGGAUGUCAUCAACAUACAACACUAAGAAUGCCACAGUUGCGUUAACAAUCUUCUUGUAGACACAAGAUUUGUCAAUAUUAUGGACAAAGCGAUAAGAUCUUAUCGUAUUGUCAAAUCUUAUAUUACAGGAUCUAGAAGAUUGUUUCAACCCAUAAAUGAGUUUGUUCAACUUAUAAAUCUUUUAUUCUUGGCAUUAUUCUACAAACCCCUUUGGUUGAGACAUAAAUAUUUUUGUCAAGAUAACCAUUUAGGGUCGUUUGGGGCAAGAAGUGAGUUAUUAUAGUCUUGGGAAUAUAAUAGCCUGCAUUUGAGAAUUAUAAUAGUCUGCGUUUGCUAUGCAUAGUACUUAGUCUGGGUUAUUAUAAUAUGUGUUUGGGAUCAAACUAUUAUAGUUUGUGUUAUUAUAAUAUAUGUUUGGGCUGGAAAUCACUAUUAUAAUAUGAGUUUUGCACAAUUCUUUUUUGGGGUGCAAACUAUAUUAUAGUUUAUGUUUGGGGUGGAGACUAUUAUAAUAUUGGUUUCUCACUACUCAUUUUUUGCAUACAUAUAUAUUGUGCAUUCAAUUGAUUUUAUCAAAUUUGAUUAAUUAAGAUGUUCAUUUAAUAAAUUUAGCUUUAAACUGGGAUUUUGACUUCUGUGAUCGAGCGCCUAAUUAGUGCCAACAUAGAAAAUUGGACAAAGAAAAGGUCAACAAACAUAAAUGAUAUUACAAUUUUUUAAUUUUUUUAAUGUUACAAGAUUUUUUAUCUAAUUUUUUAAUUAAACUAAGUAUUCAAAUUUAUAUAUGAACAAAAUUCAUUAGAUGAUAUUUCUUGUGGCAUAAUUAAAAUUUGUAAAAUAUAUAAUAACCCUUCGGAGGAGUAAGGAAUAGUGAUAUAGGAAAAAUGAGAGUGAUGAAUGGUGAUAGAGGAGAAAGGAGGAAGUGAGAAAUUGUGACAUACGAAAAAUAGGAGAAUGAGUAUAAUAAUCCUAAUCCUAAUUCUAGGGUUAUAAUAACCCUUGGGCCAAACAUGAGAGUUUGCUAAAAUAGCUCACUCCACUCUUUCAUAGUACGAGGGGCAAACAACCCCUCAAGAAUGUAGUCUUGAAAUUCUUUUGUUAUAUCUUAUAGUCAUAAAAUGUGAUAAUUAAUAAAAGUAUUGUAAUAGACUUUAGCAUAGCAAUAGGACAGAAGAUUUCUUCAUAGUCUACUUCUCUCUCUUUGGGUACCACAAGUUUAACUUUAAAGGUCUGUACCUUACAAGUUACAUCUCGUUUUCUCUUGUAGAUCCAGUUGCAACCAAUAGGUUUUAACUUAUAUGGUUGAUUACAAGUUCCCAGACUGAAUUGAAGUAAAUUGACUCCAUUUUAAGGUCCAUAAUUUUUAUCCAUUGUUCUCUGUCAACAUCACUCAUUACCUAUUUAAAGGUCAAUUGAUUCCCGAACUCAUCACCAAGUAUGAAAAGUUGUGUUUCUAUUAAACCUAUGUAAUGAUCAGGUUGAUGGAUAACCCUCUCACUAUGUCGAGGUGCCCUCAACUCUUAAGAAGAAUGUGAUUGAUUAGAAGUACUACUUCCAUUAACUACUUUAGUAGAAAUAUUAGUUUUAUCACAACUUUUGUUGAUUUAUCUGUAGCAUCUUUAAAAAUCUCAUUCAAUACCAGUUUACUACAAGAUUGAUGGUUUCUAAUAAUGUGGUCUUCCUCUACGAAUGUAACAUUUUUGAUACAUACACUCUCUUCUCUUGUGGAUCGUAGAAUAAACCAUAUUUUGUUUCUUUUGGGUAACCUACAAAUAGGCAUAGUUUUGGUCGACUUUUCAAUUUGUAAGGUUUUGCACCAACACAUCCCCAAUUUGAAGCAAUUUAAGCUAACUUUACACUUUUUCCAAACUCAUACGAUGUUUCUGAAACACUUUUAAAUUGAAUGUUAUUCAAAUUAUCGACAACAGUCUCUAAUGCAUGUCUCCAAAAGAAUUAGACAACUAGGUAAAGCUCAUCAUGGAGCAAACCAUGUGAUUGGUGAUAUAAUUGAUACCUACGUUAUAUAAUGCCCAAGAAAAAUAAUUCACUAACAUUGAAAAUUUAAGCAAGUUUCCAACUUAGUACUGAUCUGCAACACUCCUACUAUAGUGCCUCACGUAGAGCUAACUUAAUGAUCACUUAGGCUUGAUAACGUGUAUAAAUACCUGUUAUUAUAGUUUCUUUUAUUAAAAUAAUGAGAUCAAAAUGUAUAAGAAAAGGAUCAAAACACAUAACUUAUGUGGUAAAAUACAUAAGUAUUUAGAAAUACAUCCUACAUAAGCAUUAUGCAUGUUUUACGCGAUUGUCAUGUCUAAACGCAGGAUGAGUAGAAAGGAAGAAACUAGUGAAUCAAAUGGGACAUCUCGCGCAAGGCCUAUGCGAUGAAAACUCAUUUGGCGAUUAACAUCACCUUCAGACGAGAGGAACCACAUCAUCACGUGAGGAAGAUUUCCUAUGUGUUUGCCUAGCAUUAAGAUAGUGAAGCUAUCUCUAUGUGCACAUAAAAAGGUAUGGCAAGUCUAGAACUAAGUAUGUGUUCACUUAGGCAAACUCUUUGGUGUGAGAUGCUUAUACAGAUUGUUGCAGUCGAGUGUGUGAGUUUUGUCCACAUCCAAGAUGGGAGUCAACUGAGUGUUGUGCACUUAGGCACUGGGAGUUUGAGUUUGCAUGCCUACACCAGUAACUAGGAGUGUUUAGUAUGUUUCAGUGUUCAAAUCUAGAUACAUUGAGCAUGUGUUCGCCUUGAGAGAUGUGAAUAGGUUCAAGCUAAUGAUUGUUUUGCAUGAAACGUUUGGUGAUGACUCAUUACUAGAUGAGUGUCUAAGGAAGAAAAUUAUUUUAAAACUUGGUUUCUUUGCGUUGUGUUUGUUUUCUCAAAGAGUUUCUGGCAUCUCAAGGAUCUGUUAUUUGUCAUGUAGCACAGUGUGUCUGUAUUGUUUCUUUUCCUUUUACUUGUUAUUUUAGUUGUUUUAGAUGUUGUUUGUGCUUUUUGCGUGACCUUUGUGAAUGAGAAAGAGAUGUGGGGCCUUUUUCAAAAAACUUAACCUCAAACAUUAAGGAGUGAAUUUGAGAAUAUAGAAAUUAUAUCUAAGCUAGGCUGAGGUUAACUCUACCUCUUACAAGUUUUAAUAAUACUCUUUUUGGUCUCCACUAAUAAAUUUAUUCAACUAAGAAAGGAUGACUUUUAAUUAAUAGUUUUGGGAUGACAUGGAAAAUUUUAUAACUAAAAUAUAUUGAUCUUCCUCCCUUUCUCUAAUUUGUUUGUAACGCCCCUACAUCUGAUCAUCUCUAACACUCUUAUUGCCUCCUCUUAAAAAGAUAAGGAGAUGGAACAUUAGGGUGUGCAAGAAGUAUAUGCCAAUAUUAAAGUAUUGAUUAUAUUUCACUAUUAAUUGUUAUUAGAUUCAACAUAACAGUGAUUAUUGAAGAUGUGAUGGAAGAAUAAUGUGAGUUGGAGAAAGAUGGCAGCACCGAAUACAAACAAGCUGGAUAUCAUAAGCAUUUCAUGAGAAAGAGACUACAGUUUGUGGGGUGGAAGACGAAGAAACAAAAACAUUUUCUUUAGAAUAUGUGAAAGGUAUAGUUUUGUAGUACAAGUUUUAAUUGGAAGGUAAAAUAUAGGUUUCAAAAUUAAUGGUUAGGGUAAAAUUAAUGUAAAUAAUGAAGAGGAAAUUAAGGGUCCAAAUAUUAGGCUCCUAAAGUUUGGUGAAGAUUACUAGCUAGGGGUGAUUUCAAGUAUUAAUUAAUUGAUGUGGAGAACUAAAACUCCACCAACUUAAUAAAUAAAUAACAAUCACAAUAACAAUAAUAAUAACCUAUGGGUUUUAAUAUUUGAUGUGAAGUCUCCUCAAUAAUAAUCUCUUCAUUUGAUUCGGCG
rnacentral:lncRNA from 1 species